rnacentral:rRNA from 1 species
UCAAGUUAUUAAGGGUGCAGGGCGGAUGCCUUGGCACUAGGAGCCGAUGAAGGACGUGAUAAGCUGCGAUAAGCUUCGGGGAGUUGCACGUAAACUUUGAUCCGAAGAUUUCCGAAUGAGGAAACUCACUUAGAGUAAUGUCUAAGUAUCAUUAAGUGAAUACAUAGCUUAAUGAGGGGAACUCAGGGAACUGAAACAUCUAAGUACCUGAAGGAAGAGAAAGAAAUUCGAUUCCGUAAGUAGCGGCGAGCGAACGCGGAUUAGCCCAAACCAAUAAAGUUUUCUUUAUUGGGGUUGCGGACAUAUCAUAACGAAGAGGUAUCGUAAUUGAAGAGGUUUGGAAAGACCCACCACAGAAGGUAAUAGUCCUGUAUGUUAAACGAGAAGACUUCAGAUAUGAUCCAGAGUACCACGGGACACGUGAAACCCUGUGGGAAGCAGGAGGGACCACCCUCCAAGGCUAAAUACUACCUAGUGACCGAUAGCGUAUAGUACCGUGAGGGAAAGGUGAAAAGAACCCCGGGAGGGGAGUGAAAUAGAACCUGAAACCCUGCACUUACAAGCUGUGGAAGCACAUUUCUUGUGUGACCGCGUACUUUUUGUAGAACGGGCCAACGAGUUACGUUAAGUAGCAAGGUUAAGCACUUAAGGUGCGGAGCCGUAGCGAAAGCGAGUUUUAACUGAGCGUUCAGUUACUUGACGUAGACCCGAAACCGGGCGACCUACCCAUGAGCAGGAUGAAGCGAAAGUAAAAUUUCGUGGAGGUCCGAACCCACGAGCGUUGAAAAGCUCGGGGAUGACUUGUGGGUAGCGGUGAAAUUCCAAUCGAGCCCGGAGAUAGCUGGUUCUCCCCGAAAUAGCUUUAGGGCUAGCCUCAAGGUGAGAGAUACGGAGGUAGAGCACUGAAUGUCCUAGGGGGUAUUGCACCUACCGAAGACUAUCAAACUCCGAAUGCCGUCAUCUUAUACUUGGGAGUCAGACUGUGGGUGAUAAGAUUCAUAGUCGAAAGGGCAACAGCCCAGAUCGUCAGCUAAGGUCCCUAAAUGUAAGUUAAGUGGUAAAGGAUGUGGGAUUGCACAGACAACCAGGAUGUUGGCUUAGAAGCAGCCACUCAUUCAAAGAGUGCGUAAUAGCUCACUGGUCGAGUGAUCCUGCGCCGAAGAUUUCCGGGGCUAAAACUUACUACCGAAGCUACGGCAUCAGUAAUGAUGGGUAGGGGAGCUUCCCAUACGGGUUGAAGCAUGACCGUAAGGACAUGUGGACAGUAUGGGAGUGAGAAUGUUGGCAUGAGUAGCGAGAUGUGGGUGAGAAUCCCACAGGCCGUAAACCCAAGGUUUCCAGGGGAAGGUUCGUCCGCCCUGGGUUAGUCGGGACCUAAGCUGAGGCCGAAAGGCGUAGGUGAUGGACAACAGGUUGAUAUUCCUGUACUACCGAUAACCGUUUGAGAGAAGGGAUGACACAGUAGGAUAAGCUAAGCACACUGUUGGUUAUGUGUGCCCAAGCAUUGAGGCAGUCAAAGUAGGCAAAUCCGCUUUGAUAAUGCUGGGAUGUGAUGGGGAGCGAAAUUUAGUAGCGAAGUAGCUGAUUUCACACUGUCAAGAAAAGUCUCUAUCGAGGUUAAAGGUACCCGUACCGCAAACCGACACAGGUGGGUGAGGAGAGUAUCCUAAGGCCAGCGAGAGAACUGUUGUUAAGGAACUCGGCAAAAUGACCCCGUAACUUAGGGAUAAGGGGUGCCACCAUCAGGUGGCCGCAGAGAAUAGGCCCAAGCGACUGUUUACCAAAAACAUAGGUUUCUGCUAAGUCGCAAGACGAUGUAUAGGAGCUGACGCCUGCCCGGUGCUGGAAGGUUAAGGGGAUCUGUUAGAGCAAUCGAAGCAGUGAACUUAAGCCCCAGUAAACGGCGGCCGUAACUAUAACGGUCCUAAGGUAGCGAAAUUCCUUGUCGGGUAAGUUCCGACCCGCACGAAAGGCGUAACGAUUUGGGCACUGUCUCAACAACAGACUCGGUGAAAUUGUAAUUCCGGUGAAGAUGCCGGAUACCUGCGACAGGACGGAAAGACCCCAUGGAGCUUUACUGUAGCUUGACAUUGGGUCUUGGUACUACAUGUACAGGAUAGGUGGGAGGCUUUGAAACCAGGACGCCAGUUUUGGCGGAGCCAUCCUUGGGAUACCACCCUUGUAGUACUGGGACUCUAACCAUAGGCCAUGAAUCUGGUCUUGGGACACUGUCAGGUGGGCAGUUUGACUGGGGCGGUCGCCUCCCAAAAGGUAACGGAGGCGCUCAAAGGUUCUCUCAGUACGGUCGGAAAUCGUACGUAGAGUGUAAAGGCAAAAGAGAGCUUGAUUGCAAGACAUACAGGUC